rnacentral:rRNA from 1 species
CCUACGGGUGGCAGCAGUGAGGAAUAUUGGUCAAUGGGCGGAAGCCUGAACCAGCCAAGUCGCGUGCAGGAUGACGGCCCUACGGGUUGUAAACUGCUUUUAUACGGGAAUAACGCGCCUUACGUGUAGGGCUUUGCAUGUACCGUAUGAAUAAGGACCGGCUAAUUCCGUGCCAGCAGCCGCGGUAAUACGGGAGGUCCGGGCGUUAUCCGGAUUUAGUGGGUUUAAAGGGCGCGUAGGCCGCAUGGCAAGCGUUCUGUGAAAUGUCCGGGCUCAACCCGGGCCUUGCAGCGCGAACGGGCGUGCUUGAGUCCGCGGAAAGCAGGCGGAAUUCGUCGUGUAGCGGUGAAAUGCUUAGAUAUGACGAAGAACCCCGAUUGCGAAGGCAGCUUGCUGCAGCGGAACUGACGCUGAUGCUCGAAAGCGCGGGUAUCGAACAGGAUUGGAUACCCUAGUAGUC